rnacentral:rRNA from 1 species
GAUGAACGCUGGCGGCGUGCUUAACACACGCAAGUCGAACGGAAAGGCCAGUGCUUGCACUGGUACUCGAGUGGCGAACGGGUGAGUAACACGUGGGUGAUCUGCCCUGUACUUCGGGAUAAGCUUGGGAAACUGGGUCUAAUACCGGAUAGGACAACUUUUUGGAUAUUGUUGUGGAAAGCUUUUGCGGUAUGGGAUGAGCUCGCGGCCUAUCAGCUUGUUGGUGGGGUAAUGGCCUACCAAGGCGUCGACGGGUAGCCGGCCUGAGAGGGUGUACGGCCACAUUGGGACUGAGAUACGGACCAGACUCCUACGGGAGGCAGCAGUGGGGAAUAUUGCACAAUGGGCGCAAGCCUGAUGCAGCGACGCCGCGUGGGGGAUGAAGGCCUUCGGGUUGUAAACUCCUUUCGCUAGGGACGAAGCGUUUUUGUGACGGUACCUGGAGAAGAAGCACCGGCUAACUACGUG